CUGUCAAAUGUCAUUGAUCACAUAAACAAAAUUUUUGGGCAUUUUGAUAUUUUUAAUUAAGAUAAAUGACCAAUAUAAAAUGUGAUUUGGUCAAAUUCGUGAUAGAAGAACAUUUUGGGGAAGUUUGUGCUGAAAUUAUACAUUUUAUAAUAAAAUAUGGUCCAUCUAUUAUAUCCUCUAUAAUAAAUCACUUAAACAGAAACUAUAAUUUGAGAGCUUGUGAGACUAAAUUAUAUAUAGGACAUUUAAUAAACCAUAAUCUGGUGAAUUAUAAUGAAAAAGAUGUUAGAGUAUAUUAUGAUGUAAAUGUUCAAAGUAUUUUUUAUCUUAUCAGAUUCUCUAAAUAUGUAUAUAUUACAAGACAGAAUUUUGGGAAAAUUGCUGAAACAAUUAUUAUAAAUAUAUUAAAUUUAGGAAGGACAGAUAUAGUUAAUUUGCUUGCUACAACUUAUCUCAAAUUGAAAAGUAAACAUGACUAUUUUGAAAUAAAAGACCAAUUACUGAAGCUUAUAUCACAUAAGUUAAUCAGACGUAUAGCAUGGUUAGAAAAUGAAAUUAAUUUAAAAGAUUUCCAACUGACACCUAAGCUAGUUUAUAUAGAAAAAUUUGCUUAUAAUAUACCGAAAGAUUUUGAUUUUAAUAAUGAAAUACAGAAUUUAAAAAAACUAGAAAGAUCUAUAUUAGAUACUAACCCUACUGCAAAGAGAUUAAAACUUUCACACAUAUAUCAAACAAAUAAAGUAUAUUGGAUGAUGAAUUAUGAAAAGCUAGAUUCUAUUCUUGUAGAACAGCUAAUAUCACAAGCUUUAAAAAUCAGAUAUAUUGAACCAUAUUGCAAUUUCUGUCAAUUGGACAUUUCUACUAAUAAUUACCUAAAUAAUGUAUCACAGAAAAUAUUUAAUAAUUUAAAAAAUGAUUAUAAAGAUAAUGGAUUUUUAGUAUUUUCUUUGGAAGAUUUAAUUAGUUCAAAAAUUGAAGAUUCACUUAAAGAUAAAUAUAAAAAUGCCAUCAAACAAUUGCUUGAAUAUUUAGCCACUGAUAGUGAAUAUCUUAAUCAUGGCAAAAUUAAAGAAAAGGAAAAAAUAGGAUGGAUAUACAAAUUGACAGAUUCUAGCUAUAAAUUUUAUAUGGACAAGAGCAUUCAUGAUAUUUAUGCAGAAUUUAUUUUUUAUUUCAUAAAGAAUAAAUAUGGUUCCAAGGCAGCCAGGAUUUAUAAUUUGAUCAAGCACAAAAAGGCCUGUGAACAGAAGAAGAUCGAAGAAUUGGCCAUGAUGCCCCCAAAAGAGGUGAAGGAAAAUGUAUACACCAUAUUAAACACUGGCUUAAUAAAUAUUCAAGAAGUUUCUAAGGGGACCGAUUUUGCACCCUCCAGAACUUUUUACCUGUUUAAGGCGGCCUCAGAUAAUGACAGCUUACAGAUCAUGUCCAAUUAUUGUUACAAAACCUUCGUAAACUUGAUGGAAAGAUGUAAAUCGGAACAGGCUAAUGGCAAAAAUUUAUUCGAAAAGAGGGACAAAUUAGAGGCAAUAAUAGCUAAUUUACCUGGCCCUGAGGUUAAUUCUGAGUACGAAUCGCAAGUGAAUGAAAUAAAAGCUUCUUUCUCUCCUGCUGACCUAAAAACCAUGAACGACAUAACAUCCUCUGUUGACAAAAAACAUUGGCUGAGGCGAUCGAAAAACCUGCACACCAGUGGCAACAUGUUUUUUGAACAAAUGUAACCACGCUAUUUGCUACUUUUAUAAUAGCCAUGAACGCGUUACAUUUUUAUGAAACGUCACAUUUAUUAGAUUGCUUCGCAGCGCGUUAUUUCAAUUAGACGAAGUCAUACUAAUCAUGGAAAUACAUCGUCAUUAUAUAUCCUGAUUGAUUUUUCUAACAAAUAUUUUGAAUUUGUUUUAUUAUUUAUUCAAUUGAAAAACCCAAAUAAUUACAAUUGAAUUAUUAUUAUAAAUAAACGAUUACAAUGCCUUAUUAAUAUUAUAUAAUAAAUAUUGUGCUUUAAAUAAAAUUAUA